rnacentral:rRNA from 1 species
CAAUAGCGUAUAUUUAAGUUGUUGCAGUUAAAAAGCUCGUAGUUGGAUUUCGGAUGGGAUUUGCCGGUCCGUCGUUACGAUGUGCACUGGCCAGUCCUAUCUUGUUGUCGGGGACUAGCUCCUUGGAUUCACUUCCUGGGACUAGGAGCUGACGAGGUUACUUUGAGUAAAUUAGAGUGUUCAAAGCAAGCCUACGCUCUGAAUACAUUAGCAUGGAAUAACACGAUAGGACUCUGGCUUAUCUUGUUGGUCUGUGAGACCAGAGUAAUGAUUAAGAGGGACAGUCGGGGACAUUCGUAUUUCAUUGUCAGAGGUGAAAUUCUUGGAUUUAUGAAAGACGAACUUCUGCGAAAGCAUUUGUCAAGGAUGUUUNCAUUG